UCCGGUUUGUCACCGGCAGUCUGGUGUGAGUCCCCAACUUAAUGCUGGCAACACACCACGGGGGUUGCGCUCGUUGCGGGACUUAACCCAACAUCUCACGACACGAGCUGACGACAGCCAUGCACCACCUGUAUACGAGUGUCCAAAGAGACCCCCAUCUCUGGGGGCUUCCCGUAUAUGUCAAACCCAGGUAAGGUUCUUCGCGUUGCAUCGAAUUAAUCCGCAUGCUCCGCCGCUUGUGCAGGCCCCCGUCAAUUCCUUUGAGUUUCAUUCUUGCGAAAGUACUCCCCAGGUGGGUUACUUAUCACUUUCGCUUAGCCACUCAGUCUUACGACCAAACAGCUAGUAACCAUCGUUUACGGCGUAGACUAC
rnacentral:misc_RNA from 1 species